UUUGACCUCAAAUCAGGUAGGACUACCCGCUGAACUUAAGCAUAUCAAUAAGCGGAGGAAAAGAAACUAACAAGGAUUCCCCUAGUAACGGCGAGUGAAGAGGGAUAAGCUCAAAUUUGAAAUCUGGCGGCUUAAGGUCGUCCGAGUUGUAAUCUAGAGAAGUGUUUUCCGCGCUGGACCGUGUACAAGUCCCUUGGAACAGGGCGUCAUAGAGGGUGAGAAUCCCGUCUACGACACGGACUACCAGUGCUUUGUGAUACACUCUCAACGAGUCGAGUUGUUUGGGAAUGCAGCUCAAAACGGGUGGUAAAUUCCAUCUAAAGCUAAAUACAGGCGAAAGACCGAUAGCGAACAAGUACCGUGAGGGAAAGAUGAAAAGCACUUUGGAAAGAGAGUUAAACAGUACGUGAAAUUGUUGAAAGGGAAACGCUUGAAGUCAGUCGCGUCUUCAGAAAUUCAGCUUGGCUUUUGCCUGGUGUACUUUUCUGUUGGACGGGCCAGCAUCGGUUUCGGCCGCCAGAAAAAGGUGGGAGGAAGGUGGCACCUCCGGGUGUGUUAUAGCCUCUCAUCGUAUGUGGCGGCUGGGACUGAGGACCGCAGCACGCCUUUAAUGGCCGGGGUUCGCCCACGUAACGUGCUUAGGAUGCUGGCGUAAUGGCUUUAAACGACCCGUCUUGAAACACGGACCAAGGAGUCUAACAUGCCUGCGAGUAUUUGGGUGGUAAACCCAUAUGCGGAAUGAAAGUGACUAGUUGGGACUUCUGUCAUGGAAGGCACCGACGCCCGGACCAGACCUAUUGUGACGGAUCCGAGGUAGAGCAUGUAUGUUGGGACCCGAAAGAUGGUGAACUAUGCCUGAGUAGGGUGAAGCCAGAGGAAACUCUGGUGGAGGCUCGUAGCGAUUCUGACGUGCAAAUCGAUCGUCGAACUUGGGUAUAGGGGCGAAAGACUAAUCGAAC
rnacentral:rRNA from 1 species